CGGCGCGAUGGACGUGGCCACACUGCCCUCCAGUGGCCAGCCCGCCGAACGACACGCCUGGGCGCCGUUUGGGGGUCGGGGUGACGUGUCCACGCUCUGCCUUUUGCUCCAUUUGAAGGUGGGGUUUGCUCCUCCGUGGUUCCUCUUACAGGCCGCCAAAGCUGCCCUCUGCCACAGUGCACACUGACCCAACAGCAGGUCCAGGAUCCAGUGAGCAUUCGUAAGCACCUACUAUGCGCUCUGCACCAGGAUCACUGCAGUGCUGUGUGAGACAUGGCACAAAGGGGCCAGCCGGCCCUCGGAGGCUCCAAGCACCCUGGAGGGCAGGCUGCUCCGUGGUUUCUCUCUGCCCUCCCCAAGACUGCUCUUGGGAGGGCAUGUUACUUUCCCAGACAAGCUCAGAGAUGCAAUUUCUCCUCCUAAGAGGUUAGGCUAAUUGCUCUUCCCAGAAGAAAAUCCUCGGAGGUUUUCCUUGUGGUGGACUGGAAGGUUUGAAAAUUAUAUGUUCAGAGCAACAUCAGGUUACUAUAUUAAAUCCAGUUUCACGGAUCGCGGCCACGGGGAGCACAAGCGCCACCUGCUGGCCCACCGCGGAAUUCCAAGAGAGGACGAGACCCGAACACAACGGGCUCAGGACGCGCGGUCCCCGGUCACUGUCCAAGUGUACCGUCCUCCAUUUUGCUUUGGUUUUUCUCAUUGUUGGAGUAUUUUUUUUAUUGAUACAUUAUAGAUGUACAUAUAUUGGGGGUACAUGUGUUUUUUUAAGAAUUUAAUUCGUUUUUUAUUCUCCCCCCCCCGCCCCUGCCCCUCCCCGACCUCUCUUCUUUUGGGGCAGGAUCUCCCUCUGUGGCCCAAGCUGGUCUCAAACUCCCAGCCUCAAGCUCUUCUUCCACUUCCGCCUCCCACAGUG